rnacentral:rRNA from 1 species
UACGUAGGGGGCAAGCGUUGUCCGGAAUCAUUGGGCGUAAAGCGCACGUAGGCGGCCCUGUAAGUCCGUUGUGAAAGUCAAAGGCUCAACCUUUGAAUGCCGAUGGAUACUGCAGGGCUAGAGUCCGGAAGAGGCGAGUGGAAUUCCUGGUGUAGCGGUGGAAUGCGCAGAUAUCAGGAGGAACACCGGUGGCGAAGGCGGAUCUCUGGGCCUUACCUGACGCUCAGGCGCGAAAGCUAGGGGAGCGAACAGG